UGAAUUGUGAAAUUGUGGGAUUGAAAGGAGUAGUUUCCUUGGACUUGGCAGACUCGUCUCUAUGAUUUGGGACGCUUGUUGGAAGAGAAUUAGGCGGCACCCUUGAACUCUCGAUUUCUGCUGUGAAUGGAGCAGGAGUGUAAUCAAGCAGCUACGUGCCUUGAGGGGAAGGAGAGUAAUCAAGCAGCAGCUACGUGCCUUAAGGGAAGGAAAGUAAUCAAGCAGGAGGUGGAACAAUUACGUGGCUUGAGGGGGAUGAGAGUCAUCAGGAGGAAGAAGAAGGAAGAAGGAGGUGCAGGAGCAAUAAACAAGAAUUAAUUUAGUUAUUUGGGUAUUCCAUGAAUGGGUUCCAAAAAUUUUGAAGUGGGCUGGGAUUUAACUUAUGGGCCCACAUAUGUACACCAUUUUAUUUCUUCUAUUCCAUUUCAUAGUUUUUAGAAAUGUAUCCCUGUAGUUAGACUUUUAAAAUAAAAAGUUUGGUUGACUA